rnacentral:rRNA from 1 species
GAUGAACGCUGGCGGCGUGCCUAAUACAUGCAAGUCGAGCGAAUGGAUUAAGAGCUUGCUCUUAUGAAGUUAGCGGCGGACGGGUGAGUAACACGUGGGUAACCUGCCCAUAAGACUGGGAUAACUCCGGGAAACCGGGGCUAAUACCGGAUAACAUUUUGAACCGCAUGGUUCGAAAUUGAAAGGCGGCUUCGGCUGUCACUUAUGGAUGGACCCGCGUCGCAUUAGCUAGUUGGUGAGGUAACGGCUCACCAAGGCAACGACGCGUAGCCGACCUGAGAGGGUGAUCGGCCACACUGGGACUGAGACACCGCCCAGACUCCUACGGGAGGCAGCAGUAGGGAAUCUUCCGCAAUGGACGAAAGUCUGACGGAGCAACGCCGCGUGAGUGAGGAAGGCUUUCGGGUCGUAAAACUCUGUUGUUAGGGAAGAACAAGUGCUAGUUGAAUAAGCUGACACCUUGACGGUACCUAACCAGAAAGCCACGGCUAACUACGUGCCAGCAGCCGCCGUAA